AGCCUAACUCUAGCCCAGUCACAUCCUAACUAACAAAACCCAAAAAUUCACUUAAUCACUAAAUUAAAACAUUCUACCUACUUAGUAUAGGCGAUAGAACAGGUCUACCUGGUGCGAUAGAAAUUUGUACCGUAAGGGAAAGAUGAAAUAGCAAUGAAAGACCAAGCGACAAACAGCAAAGAUAAACCCUUGUACCUCUUGCAUCAUGAUUAAGCUAGAACAACCAAACAAAACGAAUUUAAGCUUGCCCUCCCGAAACCCAAGCGAGCUACUUACGAGCAGCUACCCUGAGCAAACCCGUCUCUGUCGCAAAAGAGUGGGAUGACUCGUCAGUAGGAGUGAAAAGCCUACCGAGCUGGGUGAUAGCUGGUUACCUGUGAAACGAACUUAAGUUCCUCCUUGGUUUUCCUCCACGGACCCCUCCCCAACAACCCUACUUGUAGUAAACCAAGAGAAAUUUAAAGGGGGUACAGCCCCUUUAAAAAAGAAUACAACCUCCCCCAGUGGAUAAACCAACCUACCAUUUGUACUGUGGGCCUUCAAGCAGCCACCAACAAAGAAUGCGUCAAAGCUCUACCCCUAAAAUGAAAAAUCCAAAAACCCCAUGACUCCCUCACCACUAACAGGUUAACCUAUAAUAAUAGGAGAAUUUAUGCUAAAAUAAGUAACUAGGGAGCCCCCUCCAAGGCGCAAGCUUACAUCUUCACAUUAUUAACAGACCCAAACUAAUAUUACAACACCGACAAGACCCAAUAUUACCCCCCCCUGUUAACCCAACUCCGGAGCGCCUUUCGGAAAGAUUAAACCCUGCAAAAGGAACUAGGCAAACUUCAGACCCGACUGUUUACCAAAAACAUAGCCUUCAGCCGACCAAGUAUUGGAGGUGAUGCCUGCCCAGUGACACCACGUUUAACGGCCGCGGUAUCCUAACCGUGCGAAGGUAGCGCAAUCAAUUGUCCCAUAAAUCGGGACUUGUAUGAAUGGCUAAACGAGGUCUUAACUGUCUCUUGNAGGUAAUCAGUGAAAUUGAUCUCCUUGUGCAAAAGCAAGGAUAUACCCAUAAGACGAGAAGACCCUGUGGAACUUAAAAAUCAACGGCCACUACAAAUAAACUCAAACCUAGAAGGUCCAUUCACAAAACGUUGGCUCGUAUUUUUUGGUUGGGGCGACCUUGGANAAAANCAAACCCUCCAAAAACAAGACUAUACCUCUUUAACCAAGAGCAACCCCUCGACGUGCUAACAGCGACCAGACCCAAUAUAAUUGAUCAAUGAACCAAGCUACCCCAGGGAUAACAGCGCAAUCUCCUUCAAGAGCCCAUAUCGACAAGGAGGUUUACGACCUCGAUGUUGGAUCAGGACACCCUAAUGGUGCAGACGCUAUUAAGGGUUCGUUUGUUCAACGAUUAAUAGUCCUACGUGAUCUGAGUUCAGACCGGAGCAAUCCAGGUCGGUUUCUAUCUAUGAUGACUCUCCCUAGUACGAAAGGACCGGGAAAGUGGGGCCAAUGCCACAAGUACACCCCUCCUCUAAGUAGUGAACUCAACUGAACUACCAAAAGGACACCCGCAUCAUACUAUCCUAGAAAAGGAUC
rnacentral:rRNA from 1 species